UACGGAGGGUGCAAGCGUUAUCCGGAUUCACUGGGUUUAAAGGGUGCGUAGGCGGACAGGUAAGUCAGUGGUGAAAUCUCUGGGCUUAACUCAGAAACUGCCGUUGAUACUAUUUUGUCUUGAAUAUCUUGGAGGUAAGCGGAAUAUGUCAUGUAGCGGUGAAAUGCUUAGAUAUGACAUAGAACACCGAUAGCGAAGGCAGCUUACUACAGGAAAGAUUGACGCUGAGGCACGAAAAGCGUGGGGGAGCAAAACAGGG
rnacentral:rRNA from 1 species